GUGACACGUGGUGUUGACUCCGGCACAACACCAGUUUCCAUGGAUGAAAUGUAUGCCUAAUGACAGAAACAAAGACAUUCUCAAUCCCCCUGGUUUGUUUGUCUGAUGAAAGAAAGCACCCUGCUGCUUAUUGUGAAGAUGCUAAAUUCAAGGGGUGGCCCUUUGAUUCUUCAAGUUGAAGUGGAACCACUCUAUCUCCCCCGUAGCUUGUUUGUGGUACGCCGCAGUCUUGUUGCUGUUG